rnacentral:lncRNA from 1 species
UACUCCGGAACGUUCUGAGGAAUCGAAGGGAUUUGCAACGCGUCGCCAGCGCAACCGUGGUGUAACUGAGUGGUGACCAAAGGAAGAGACGGACCUGCGUGCUGAUGAUUGUAUUGCAUUAUUCAUCGCAGCUGCUACCGGAGCCCUCAGCGUCGGCAACAGCAUUCAGAGCUCCCCCCUUCAGAAAUCUGGAGAUUCCAUGAUGUGCCAGACAAACUAGGAUGAACUGCGCGCUUCGCCGCGCCCGUAUAAGCUGCGCGCUUGUGUUGUGAAGUACAUGUACAUGCUGUUGUUUGCAUUGUUUGCAUGUGUAUUAGGGCUGAAAUGUAUUGCAAGUUUCUAAGUGGAAUCCAUUUGAGCUGACUUUAGCUUGUGUGACCGUGAGGGUUGAAUGGGCUUGGUCCUGCCUUGCUCUUUUGUGUGGCCACAACACACAGCAGAUUAUGG